AGACAACAUGGACCUGUGUCGGGUCGGACUUCAUAUUCUCUAUCCGACUCUGAAAAUUCAAGCAACUCAAGGCCAGAAACAGAGCAUUUGCCCCCUCCUCCAUGCCAUUACAGGUAAGUGGGUCUUCCUCUUGCCCUCCUCGCAGACAGUAUGAAGCUUCAGCUUCCUGAGCUUCCUCUUGAUCGGGACGUAUUCCUCGCCUCCGGGAAUCGACUCCUUCAUCCACUUGGGCUUGGGGAGGGGCUUCUUCUUGGUACCGACCUCAACGGAGUAGGAGUUGGUCGACUGCAGGCUGAUGAAGUCGGAGAGGGUCUGGCCUUCCUCAGCUAGCCGUGCCCGGAGGCCCUCCAGGGUCUGGGGAUACUGCGAACCCAGGGCUUGAGGCGACGGCGGCGGCUGAGGGGUGAAGGUCGAGGAGAAGAGGCGGUGCGUGUAGAUCGGAGGAAGCGGGGGAGGGAUUUGAAGCUGGACUGCAUCUUCAGAAUUUUUGGUACCGGACGGUAAUCAAAGAAUGAAGAAGCCACCACUGUAAUAGAAGCCGGAUGUCGACGAACAUGUACUGAAGCUGCAUUUUCUUCUUGGAAUUCAAUUUGCAAAUAUGUAGAAUCUGAGAAAAUAUUGAAUGCUCGAAGUUCUGCUGAAGCGACGCCAGCAAAAGCAAACAUCUCCGCCACCGGCAGCCGCUCGAUCAGGUUCCAUACUACCGCAUUCCACCCAUGGGGAGUGGUAAUUUAUACGCAAUCGUGAUGGUUUUCGUGCGCCAUAACAUCAUAUUAUAAACCCGCCGAAGUACUUGAAGGGUAAUAAGCUCAUGGUCUAUAUUACCGCCAAUAUCGUGGUUCUUGAUGUAUGCAGCGACUCUCGGUGUUUGCUACUUCACAUGUGUCCGAACAGCGGCGAUACAUCUCUUCCGCCAAGUAGCAAUAGGCUAUGCAGGAAAUAUGGUCUUUCAGUGUAGGCUACAUUUCUCUUAUGCAUGCCAGAGAUAGUAUCUAGUGGGAAAUGGAAUACUAUCGAAUGAGAUUGUAUCUAAAUGCUCAACGUUCCGAGUAUCGAUCAUCAGACCAGAUCCAAUUAAUAGAGUAGACAAUGUUAUGCUUCUCUCGAGUUAUUCAACUUUUAAGAUUAAAAUUCUGUCAAUCUAUUUGUACAUUUAUAAACAUUAUUAUUAUUGUUGUUGUGGGGUC